GACCCUGAACGGUGGAUCACUAGGCUCGUGGAUCGAUGAAGAGCGCAGCAAAGUGCGCUAAUCC
rnacentral:rRNA from 1 species